rnacentral:RNase_P_RNA from 1 species
UGGUUAAUAUGGUACUCGCUUGGUGUUUUUAUCCAAGAGGAAAGUCCGGACUCCUUAUUAAAAAAGAUACUGGGUAACACCCAGCAGAACGAAUUCUAGGGAAAGUAUUGUAGAAAGACGAAUUUUGUCAUAAAUUCAUGAAAAGAAUUUCUUUUUAGUAAUGGAAAGAUUUGAUUUUGAAACCCUAUCUGGAGCAAGGAAUUUAAUAUAUACGCUAUACAUAUCUGUUGAGAAAUAGAUUUGAGAGAAAUGAGUAUCCUCGUACAGAAUCCGGCUUAUUGUUAACCA